UCCUCGGUAGCUCAGUGGUAGAGCGUGCGACUGUUAAUCGCAUUGUCGCGGGUUCGAAUCCCGCCCGAGGAGCCG
rnacentral:tRNA from 1 species